CUAACCAUCACUACAUAAGAUUAACUAUAGUUCUAUUAACUAUUCUGGGAACCUCAGAGUCUGCUUGGUGAACUGUUAGCUGGUGAACAUUAACUGAGCUUCCUGUCUCGCAUGGCCCUUUUUUUCCUCCAUGACCUGUACAUCCUAUUUCAUUGUGACAAAGCAGGAAGUCAAGCAAAGGAUGCUGAAAUGAUAAAUAAAGAGCUCCUAAAAAAUCUCAUAGAGGAAAUAUACAGGAGGUGUAAGCAGAGGCAUGUGAUCUAAGAGGGAUAUAGAAAAUCUUUUUGACCAUGCAGGAUAGGGUUAGAAAAGCCGAAGCCUCUCUGAAGCUGUCUGUGGUGUGGCAUGUGAGGUCAUUUUUAUUCUGAUGACCACAUUUGGCUCUGUGGAAAAAUCACUCCUAUGAAUUAAUCUAGGAGUCACUAAGUAAAAUGGCUUUCCUUUCAGGCCAAUAUCAAAUGUCUUGCAAGAGCUAUAAACACAGAGCAGAUACUACCUAAUUUCUUCUGUUGCUACCUUUCUUUCUUGUGUCUAUUUUCAGCACUGGGACUUUCCCAAACAGGUACUAUAGAUCCUGCAAUUCAGAGUCAGAGCAUUGAAGGAGCUGGAAGGGACCACUUAGAGAUCAUUGAGUCCAACCCCUCUGUAAAGUAGACCUCCUACAGCAGGCCGCACAGGGAACAGAAGAUCAGUAGCACUACUGUCUUGUAAGAGAGCUUGAAUAUGUGGGAUGGUACUGUCCACAGAAGAGCACAAUGUACACUGU
rnacentral:lncRNA from 1 species